rnacentral:rRNA from 1 species
CCUACGGGUGGCUGCAGUGGGGAAUAUUGCGCAAUGGGCGAAACCCUGACGCAGCCACGCCGCGUGAGUGAGGAAGUCUCUCGGUAUGUAAAGCUCUAUCAGCGGGGAAGAAAGAGGCCGGUACCCUACUCAGAAGCCCCGGCUAACUACGUGCCAGCAGCCGCGGUAAUCCGCAGGGGGCGAGCGUUAUCCGGAUUCACUGGGUGUAAAGCGAGCGUAGACGGCGGCGUAAGUCUGAAGUGAAAGCCCGUGGCUCAACCGCGGAACCGCUUUGGAAACUGCGAGGCUGGAGUGCUGGAGAGGGAGGCGGAAUUCCAGGUGUAGCGGUGAAAUGCGUAGAUAUCAGGAGGAACACCGGUGGCGAAGGCGGCUUACUGGACAGUGACUGACGUUGAGGCGCGAAAGCGUGGGGAGCGAACAGGAUUAGAUACCCCAGUAGUC